rnacentral:rRNA from 1 species
GAUGAACGCUGGCGGCGUGCCUAAUACAUGCAAGUCGAGCGAACAGACGAGGAGCUUGCUCCUCUGACGUUAGCGGCGGACGGGUGAGUAACACGUGGAUAACCUACCUAUAAGACUGGGAUAACUUCGGGAAACCGGAGCUAAUACCGGAUAAUAUAUUGAACCGCAUGGUUCAAUAGUGAAAGACGGUUUUGCUGUCACUUAUAGAUGGAUCCGCGCCGCAUUAGCUAGUUGGUAAGGUAACGGCUUACCAAGGCGACGAUGCGUAGCCGACCUGAGAGGGUGAUCGGCCACACUGGAACUGAGACACGGUCCAGACUCCUACGGGAGGCAGCAGUAGGGAAUCUUCCGCAAUGGGCGGAAGCCUGACGGAGCAACGCCGCGUGAGUGAUGAAGGUCUUCGGAUCCUAAGACUCUGUUAUUAGGGAAGAACAAAUGUGUAAGUAACUAUGCACGUCUUGACGGUACCUUAUCAGAAAGCCCCGGCUAACUACGUG